rnacentral:rRNA from 1 species
UACAGAGGGUGCAAGCGUUGCUCGGAAUCAUUGGGCGUAAAGGGCAAGUAGGUGGUCUCGUUUGUCUGAGGUGAAAUCCCUGGGCUUAACCUAGGAACUGCCUCAGAAACGGCGAGACUGGAGUACUGGAGAGGGUCGCGGAAUUCCCGGUGUAGCGGUGAAAUGCGUAGAGAUCGGGAGGAAGGCCGGUGGCGAGGGCGGCGCUCUGGAACAUUUCUGACGCUGAGGCUCGAAAGCGUGGGGAGCAAACAGGAUUAGAAACCCCGAGUAGU